rnacentral:rRNA from 1 species
UACGAAGGGGGCUAGCGUUGUUCGGAAUUACUGGGCGUAAAGCGCGCGUAGGCGGUUUUGUAAGUCGGGUGUGAAAUCCCCAGGCUCAACCUGGGAACUGCAUUCGAGACUGCAUAGCUAGAGUAUGGGAGAGGGAAGUGGAAUUCCUGGUGUAGCGGUGAAAUGCGCAGAUAUCAGGAGGAACACCGGUGGCGAAGGCGGGUCUCUGGGCCGAUACUGACGCUGAGGAGCGAAAGCGUGGGGAGCGAACAGG